UACGGGGGGGGCAAGCGUUGUUCGGAAUUACUGGGCGUAAAGGGCUCGUAGGUGGCCAACUAAGUCAGACGUGAAAUCCCUCGGCUUAACCGGGGAACUGCGUCUGAUACUGGAUGGCUUGAGUUCGGGAGAGGGAUGCGGAAUUCCAGGUGUAGCGGUGAAAUGCGUAGAUAUCUGGAGGAACACCGGUGGCGAAGGCGGCAUCCUGGACCGAUACUGACGCUGAGGAGCGAAAGCCAGGGGGGCAAACGGG
rnacentral:rRNA from 1 species